CGUAGGUGGCAAGCGUUAUCCGGAAUUACUGGGCGUAAAGGGUGUGCAGGCGGGGUGGCAAGUGGUGUAUGAAAUAUCCCAGCUUAACUGGGAGGGGUUAUGCCAGACUGCUACUCUAGAGGACGAGAGAGGGGCGUGGAAUUCCGGGUGUAGUGGUGAAAUGCGUAGAGAUCCGGAGGAACCCCAGAGGCGAAGGCGACGCCCUGGCUCGUACCUGACGCUCAGCCACGAAAGCAUGGGGGAGCGAACGGGAUUAGAAACCCCGGUAGUCCAUGCCGUAAACGAUGCAAACUAGGCGCUGACGGUCUCAACCCCGCCGGUGCCGGAGCUAACGCGAUAAGUUUGCCGCCUGGGGAGUACGGUCGCAAGGCUA
rnacentral:rRNA from 1 species